rnacentral:misc_RNA from 1 species
CUGAGUGAGGGCCUUCGGGGCUCGACCUCCAACCCUUUGUGAACACCAACUUGUUGACUUCGGGGGCGACCCUGCCGUUUCGACGGCGAGCGCCCCCGGAUGACCAUCAUAACACUGCAUCUUUGCGUCGGAGUUUAAGUAAAUUAAACA